CCCACCCCAACCACAGCCCACAGGUGGGCCUUCCUCAGUCUUCCUGGGCAGACAAAACUCCAGGAGGCUCCCGAGCUGUCUUUCAGAAUCCCUCUCAGUGGUCCCUGAGGAGCGUCAGCCAAGGAUCCGAACCACUGGCAGAUGUGGGUGCCUGUUGCUGUUGAUUUCUCAACAAUGUUGCAGUGGAUUCAUUUCUGAGAGGAACAGCGUGGUGGGGGCAAGAGGCGCGGAGUCACUACACAGACCCCGGGAGUCCAGUGAAAGCAGGCUUGAGGAGCCCUCAGGAGGAUGCUAGGACUCCGGUAUGCAGUGGGCUGGCCGUCAGGACCACGGGGUGGUGUGCAGUCCCCGCCUGCAGCUUCUUUGAACCCUGGGGCAUCAGCUUUCCAAUCUCUGUGUGGUGAGGAAGAACUUGAACUUACUGUAUGACCCGAUUUCCUUGAGUGAGGCAGCAGAUCUCAAGCAGGCCUCUCGGCGUAGGGGUCUGGGUCAGUUUUCUUGUUGCUAAUCGUGCAGCAGCACAGGCUCGGUGUGUGAGAAGGAAGCAGUAUUAUUGACCUCAUGGUUUUGGUGCAGGGUCUAGGGGCAGCAUCCGGUGAUGAUCUUCUUGCUGGUAGAGUCCUGGGGUGGCACAGAGACCAGCGGACAGACAGAAGGGGUGCAGAGGGGGCCAAUCCAAAGUGGUCUAUGUUGCGGUCCCCUAGGGAUAAGGCGUUAAUCCAUGAACACAUGAAUGGAUUUAUCCUGAUCACUUCCUGCAGGGCCUCACCUGUUCUCACUGCUGAAUUUCUCAUCACUGGAUUAACUGUGCCCAUGAGUUUCAGAGGGGAUAAACCAUGUUUAAUAGAGAGCAUGCAGGCUUGCAGGAGGUCCCUAAAUUUCCAGGUCUCCUCCCACCUAGUUUUGAGAUUUAGUGCUUCUGCCCCUCAUGUGGAAGAAGGCACCCUUUCUUAGGGCUUUCAAGGAAAGAAGGAAAGGACUUCAAGCUUUUCUUCCUACUAGGAUCACCUAUU